AAAGUCGUAACAAGGUUUCCGUAGGUGAACCUGCGGAAGGAUCAUUAAUAGAAGUUAUGCCCUCAUUUUUUUGGGGGGUAAACCUCGAACCCUUUGUUGUACUUGACUUUGUUGCUUUGGCGGGUAGUAAAAGCCUUAAGAAAGCUUAGGCUUUAGUUUUUCAACUCCCGCCAGAGGAAAUUAAAAUUCUGAAUAUUUGUUGUCCGAGUUUAAUUACAAAUUAAAAAAACUUUCAACAACGGAUCUCUUGGUUCUG
rnacentral:misc_RNA from 1 species